UUUAUGAUUAUUCAUAAGGAGGCAUGGCCAAGGACAGACCAUCAGUACUGUCUUGGUUCUGUUGUAAAAUCAUGAAAAGGAAAAACAUUAGUCCUUACUAGUUUACCUCAGGGGAAUUUCUAGGAUUUUUUUAAGGGUAAAGCCACACAUCCUCUGCCAAGAAGUGACUUUGUAAUGGCCUCCAUUCAUUUCAACGGGAGCUGAUUUUUCGCAUCCGCAAGGCUGGGAUAGCUGGGGAUGUGAGGCAAACCGGCGGAGUGACCGGAAAGACGGGGGACAUGAUGCGAUAACCAAUCAGACUAAACAUCCGCUGUGUAAACUGUCUCCGCAAAUUUUACUUCCCCGUUCCACAUAGUUCUGUUAAGGAAGACUCGUUAUUUAUUGUUUUUUGCUUGGAUUUCUACAAUAUACGAUCAAUAUACAUUUAAUGAACACUUUUUAAAAAUAGAAAACAAAAUUGUGGGAGGGGAGAGCGAUGCCAGGCUAUCUCGUCAGAGAAUGUGUGGCUUUACCAUAACUGUGAUGGCACUGAUGGCACAUUGUGUAACAACCGUGUGUUAUGAUCAAACACAAAAACGAGGAAAAUCCAUCAGAUAAAUAUAUAUGUAAAAUAUAUCAGGUUAAAAAAAACAGCUAAAGUAUGUUUAUUGAUUAAUAAAUAACACACAUUUUACUCUAUAGCUGUUGUACACUUGCAGAGUAAUAUCUGAGUCAUUAAAUUAGGUCAUAAAAUAUAUAAAGUGAACAGCUUACAUCUUAUUUCCUUCCAGCCAGUUUCCAGUCACAUAUUUCUCCUUCCAACCACAAUUCUGUUCAUAGAAGGAAAAUCAGACUUGCAUAAAAAACCAAAUGAUUCUGCAGCAUUUGGUUUCAGCAUAUUGGCAGUUACUAAUAUCCCUGCAAUGUAAGGUCUUCCAGAAAGCAAACUUACAAAGAUUGCCUUGCAGUUCACAGUUUUGAGACAGAGACAGUGGGUUUUAGAUGUAUAAAAAAGGUACCUUACCCACUUCACUUACUGAUCUGAAAUAGGGAGGGCUGGAGCUCUCAAAGCUCUGAAACACAACAACUUUAAUAAACAAGGGCGACCAAUAUUUUUUGCCAACUCCAGCCAGUUUUAUUGGCUCUCUUUAAAAAGAUGAACCUUCUAGAGCCAAGGACAAGUGGCAGGAGUGGUUCCUUUAAAAUGCUCUUCAGCUGAAGCUGUCGAGCAUCUGGCUGGGCUGUGUUUCACCUGAAUCACUUUUCAUAGAUGAGAAAUUCUCAAUGGCUACUCUACCUUCUUCCUGGUGUCUGAGUAAAGUAGUUCACGUUGGUCUCCAGCUAGCUUGACACUCCUAAGUUCAAAUAUGUCUUUUCUGGCUGGCUGCGAGAAGGGAGGAAUCUGUCUCAACACGCACCACUCCUUUGACUCCAAGAACUAUUUCACAGGCAUGUUCCACAGGGUGGCUCUUUCCCAGCAGCCCCAGGCCCCGGGCCCAAACAGAGAGGACCACGCCCAUGCAUUGGAGGAGGAGAGCACACUGACCCUUCCCCCUCUCACCUGAUCCUGAAACUAUUUAGAUACUGUCAUUGUUCUGGGUGUCUUCAUCGAACACAUUCAAAGCAGUGUUUGUUCAGAUGGACUCAUUUACCAAUUUAACGAUCUCAUCCUGUUUAUACAUUUCAAUACUGCUUAUCUCAUUUACUUCAACAUAUACUGUAGCCUAUACAAUAAGACACCUUGAGUUGAAUCGAAUCCAUCACAAGGUGUAUAUUUCUCCUCUGUUCCUACUUGAUGCCGUACAGUGGCUGUUAUGGCCAGUCUACCUGACAUGUCACAUACCUGCUCAGUAAACGAAUAUACUGGAGUAAUACAGGUUAAGUGCCUUGCUAAAGGGUACAACGGCAGUGACCUUUAGGUUACAAGACCAGUUCCAUGAUACUACAUUGUCAGCCCCCAGAACAUCACCACUGUUUGUUACCUAAACCUAUAUGUAUGCUGUAUUUCAAGUCACUCUGGAUAACUGAUCAUUGUAAAUGUUAAUAACACUUUCUUCUAUUUUGUAGUUACAUUGUUUGCUGUUGAUUUUUUUUUUUUUUUUUUUUUUGCGUUGACAUCUUAUUAUGUGCUAUUUUUCACAUUUGCACAUAAGUUCUAUAUCUUGUUUUGUAUUGUUACAUUACAUUACAGGCACCAGUAUUUUCCCUAACAGGUUUAACUAGUAGUUGAUCCAAUGUUUUCACAUCUGCAAUCCCACCUAUGGGGUUACUGUUGCUCCUAACACUGAGUUAUGCACUUGUUUUCAUACUGUAAGUUGCUCUGGAAAAGAAAGUUUGCUAAAUGCCAUUAAUCCAGUGCAGUUUAUCUCAAGCUCACUCAUGGGGAUGCCUGUGUAUCUUGCUUCUUGUUCCAACCCAUUUCUUGCUCAAUUAAGGUUGCUGAACAUUUUUUCUUUCAUAAUACUUGUUUCAUAAUUCUUUCCUUCUUGUUAAACAAUGCAGGUUUGUCCUGUUUUGUCCUGUUAUUUUCAUGGUCGUUGAAUUCUUCAUUAUCCACCAAAUGGUUAGUUUUAUUUGCCUUUAUGUCCACACUUUGACAAAUUAGGAGCCUGUUAAUUCACCUCUGUCCUUAAUUUGAUUAGUUAAAAAACUGACCCGGUUAUGUAAUUGUUUGCUAUACAGCACAGUGUGAACAUGUGACUUUUAUUCUUCAUGGCAUACACAGCUAUUUCUGACAAGUGGCUUAAGUGGGUACAUUAUCCCUCAAAACACACAAAACAUUAAAUCUCUGAGAAAAAAGAGGGGUUCUCUUUGCCUGAUCCGUAACUGUUAAAUUGAGAUUACCCCAUCGCCAGCCUUAUAUAAAUGGCUGGAUACCACCCCCCCCCCCCAGUUUGGCAAACUGCUUGUGUUGGUCCGCAAGAAUGCAACAGUCAUUCUUCCUUUUCUGCCACUGCCAACCCUAGCCCUCAACCCACCACUUCCCCCAGAAUGCACCUCCCGUUUCCCAUCUGAAUGCAUCACAAAACCUUGUUUGCUUGGUUCACAGAAAAAAAUUUGUGCUUCCCUCUGAACUACUGCAGACAAAAUGUCUGAAUAUUUCUAUUUAAUAAGAAUAAGGAUACUAUAGAAAAUAAACAAUAUAUGCCAUGAGCUAUAUUGCAUUCUCAAAAAUUGUGAAAUUAUAUAUUCUUAAAUUAAUACAGUUGCACAGAGUAAAGAGAUUUUGUUCAAUAAGCACUAUGUAUGUCUCCAUAUAUGUAUGCAUUACAAUUAUGUACACCUGUAAUACUUAUUUUAAUAAAAUCCAGCAAAAAAUAAA